rnacentral:rRNA from 1 species
GGCCAGACUCCUACGGGAGGCAGCAGUGGGGAAUAUUGCACAAUGGGGGAAACCCUGAUGCAGCGACGCCGCGUGAGUGAAGAAGUAUUUCGGUAUGUAAAGCUCUGUCAGCAGGGAAGAAAGAAAUGACGGUACCUGACCAAGAAGCCCCGGCUAACUACGUGCCAGCAGCCGCGGUAAUACGUAGGGGGCAAGCGUUAUCCGGAAUUACUGGGUGUAAAGGGAGCGUAGACGGUUAAGUAAGUCUGGAGUGAAAGGCCGGGGCCCAACCCCGGGACUGCUCUGGAAACUAUUUAACUUGAGUGCAGGAGAGGUAAGCGGAAUUCCUAGUGUAGCGAUGAAAUGCGUAGAUAUUAGGAGGAACACCGGUGGCGAAGGCGGCCUGCUGGACGAUGACUGACGCUGAGGCUCGAAAGCGUGGGGAGCAAACAGGAUUAGAUACCCCAGUA